GUAGGUGAACCUGCGGAAGGAUCAUUAACACGUUUAUUUAAAACCAAACGUACCAAAACUCUGUGAACAGAGAUUGUGUGAACAAUCUCGCCCUUUUUUCACUAUAUCACAAACCCCAAAAAACAAUUUAAGGUUGUUAUUCGUAACAUCUUUUAAUUGUCUUGUAACUAAAUUUUACUUAUUUUUCGAUAUUUUAUAUCGAGAAAACAAAAAGAUGUCUCUUCCUUUCGAGGAAUCGGGACUAAUCUUU
rnacentral:misc_RNA from 1 species